UGGGCCCGUACCCCAGCUGGCAAGAGGGCGCCGGUUUAGGUCCGGUGUGUCGUGGGUUCGAGUCCCACCGGGCUCAUCCA
rnacentral:tRNA from 2 species